CACGAGGACACACACGACUCCACCGCUGCUGCUUCAUCUUUCCGGUCUAGUGUCCCGUGCUCAGGAGUGGAAGGAAUUUCUGCAAGGUUUUGAGCCUCACGCGUCGCAUCCACAGCCCCAAACCGAAACCUCACCAUUCUAGCCAAAGGGGAUUAGAAGAAUUGCUGCUAUCUAAUGCAUCCUGUGUUUGAGAAUAGACUUCUAUGUCAAAGUAUUUUUAGUGAUGUGUGGCCUCACCACUUAAAUCCAGUUUAUUGAAUCUGAAGUGAUUUGCUCCUCUUUCUGGACUACACAAUAAACACCCUCCAACGUCCCCAGCCAUGCGCUUCCCAUCAUUUGGCUGAAGGGGGAAGGAAUUCAAGGCCUUAGAGUGGGGAAGCUACAAUUUGGAAGAAUCCUGGAAGCACAGAUUACCCUGUGAAGCAGCAUCCCCAUGAGGGUCUCUUUCUUCUGUGAUAUAAGCAAGAAAUAAAUGAAUUGUGUAAAUCCAGUGAGAUUUAGUCAUCUCUGUGUUAAAUCAGUUAGCUACUCUGGCUCAUACAUCAUCUUCUGGCUGCUUUUGACUCAUAGCUUGGUUAAGAUGAGGUUAUCUAAGGUGUUCAUCAUUUCAAACCGUCCUUCUUACUAUUGCCAAGAUAAUUUUUAUGUCAAACAGCCAUUUAAUGGCAGCUUAUUUCUAAAUUAUUCCUAUCUUUCACAGUCUUAAUAUAGUUCACAUUAUGACCCUAACUCCAUUGAUAUUUUAUUUUUAUUUUUAUUAUUUAUUUAUUAUUUAUCUAUUUUUGAGACAGUCUCACUCUAUCAUCCAGGCUGGAGUGCAAUGGUGUGAUCUCGGCUCACUGCAUCCUUGGCCUCCUGAGUUUCAGUGAUUCUCUUGCCUCAGCCUCCUAAGCAGCUGGGAAUACAGGCAUCUACCAUCAUGCCUGGUUAAUUUUUGUAUUUUUGUAGAGACAGGGUUCGCUAUGUUUCCCAGGCUGGUCUCGAACUCCUGGGCCCAAGUGCUCUGCCUGCCUCGGCCUCCUAAAGUACUGGGAUUAGAGGCAUGAGAUACCUCACCCAGCCACCCUUGAUAUUUUAAUAAGUUUGUUUUAUUUAUUUUAUUUUUCAUGUUUAUCUCAUCAUUGAGCCACUGCUUCUCUCUCUCUCUCUCUCUCUCAGCCUCCCCCCUGCCCCCCCUCCCCCAUACACACACAAAUCUCAACAUUCCUUCCAGAUCAUAGUAAAGUUCACAUUCUCUCUAAGCCUUUACUGGCUAUCUCCACCCUCUUUACAUUUCCAGCCCUCUACAUGAAGCCCCCAUCUCAUCUCCUACCAUGUUGUCCCCUUCACAUUGUCCUUCAUGCUCUGUUUCCAACACACCAAGUUGUUUCCCUUAGGAUGCCAGCACUUAUUUACCCAUUUUCUCAAAACGCUCUUAACCUAAAACCCCUUAUAGUUUGCACCCUCAUGUCAUUCAAAUUUCUUAUUGCCAUUUCUUGGAAUUUCAAUUGCCGUAUUUUAAAUAGUACUCCCACAGGCUGUUAUGCUGCAUCUCUUUAUCAUGCUUUGCUUUUUUCUAGUGCUUACAACUAUCUGAUAUUGGUAUGUCUGUUUAUUUAAUUUUAUGUUCCCUUCCGUAGAAUGUAAAUUCGCUCAGAGAAGGGGAUUGGUCUGUUCUGCACUACGUGUUCACUGUCCAAAGCAGUUUCUGCCCUAUAAUUGGGGCACAGUAAAAAUCUGUUUAAUAAACAGAUGAAUCAAUAAGUGUACCCUUCUGGAAAACUAUGUUAAUGAUGAUGAAAACCAAAAUCAAGAGUUUCAGAUAUUUUUCCUAUUUGUUACCUCAUUUGAGUCUGUUUCUCUCUCUCCCUCCUUCCCUAUUUCUCCUUCACAUAUUACAUUCUUGAAACAUGUAGAUAGUGAGGCUUAAAAUUACCCUACCCUGUUAGAACAUUGCAGUGGCAAAGGAAGAAUCCAUACAUUUUUACUCCUGAGUAUGAUACCACGACAAUAUGCACACAACACCAGUUUGUAGAUUCAGUCUUAAAUAUAAUACCUAGUCAUUACCUCUUUAGUGUUUCACCAAUAUUUUAAUAUUUGAUAUUGUUAUAACUAGAUUAUAAAUAUUUUAAAAGAAAAGAUCAUAUAUUAGCAUUAUAGUAAGAGGUUGCAUUUGCUCAAAUAGUUCCAUUGAUUUACUUACCUAUUGAUUUUUGUUCAGAAAAUAAAUUCUAGUUUAAUGUAGUAUCAUUUAAAGUCUUACUUUAAAUGUAACAUGGCUUCCUGCUUAUAUAGAAUAUAUGUUCUACAAAUAAAGUACUAUUUUCUAGGCUUUUAAAAAUAAUAAACACAUAAUGAAAUAAUAGUAAUGUCUUAUGCUUGGUGGACAGCAAUAACAACCAUAAAUCUCUUUUUUUGGCAAUUCUCCUUAGU